rnacentral:tRNA from 1 species
GCACGGAUAGCUCAGUGGUAGAGCGGCUGUCUUACACACAGUUGGUCGGGGGUUCAAAUCCCUCUCCGUGUACCA